GCCUGGGGGAAGCACAUUUUCUGUGUACUUAACGUACAUCAAUUCUUUUACGCUGGAGGGUGGACCUAUUACUAACUGGGAGUGUCACUGUCCAUAGCGACACUUCGCACUUUAGAAAAGAAAGUUUCCCAUUGCAUCAUUGUUUAAGAGAUGGGAAUUAAACAGACAGAAUGAAUGCAGCUUCUGAAUGGUUUAGCUAAAAAGCACUAAAGCCUGGACAUUUAAAAUAGCUUCUUCCAGGUUUAUUUGAUGGCAAAGCUCAGAUGUAGAGCUCAUCUGUCCCUUUCUUAAUUUUGUGCUCUUUCUAGAAUGUAUGCCAUCAUACAAACCAAGUUCUCACUUGGCGUUUGAAAGUAGACUAGCAUGUUAAAUGAUGAACUGUCUCCUACCAGUUUUAAACAUGAGUGUGGUUUUCAAAGCCCGCACAUAUGCUUCCUCACAUAUUGCUUUACUCUUGAUAUCUACUAUUUAAAACAGUAAAGUUUAUACCUGAUAAUUACUUAGAUUUUGGAAUACCACAGACAUCAGAAGUAAAAUUGAAAGCUAUGAGGAAUCUUAAAAGUCACCUAGCCAAUACCUGACUCCAGAGAUGAAGAUAAGUCACCUAAACUGAUAGAGAAAAAGCCAGAGGUAGAAUCAAGAUUUCUGACUUUUGAUUUAGAGCUUGAUUGAGUGCAGUGACUCAUGCCUAUAAUCCCGACUGCUCAGGAGGUAUUGAACAGGUUGGAGACCAGCACGGGCAAAAAGUCAGCAAGACCCCAUCUCAACAAACUUGCCAAGCAUGGUGGUGUCUGCAUCAUCCCAGCUACGUGGUAGGCAUAGGUAGGAGGCUCAUGGUCUGGCCCCAGGCAUUACAAGUGACCCUAACUGAAAAUAACUAAAAAGCAAAAAGGUGCUAGAGCAUGGUUCUAGUGGCAGAGUUCAAGGCUCUGAGUUCAAACCCAGUACCACCAAAACAAAGUUAAGUGCUUGUUCUCUGAUAUUAUGACUACUUUUUCUGCAAAAACAGGUAAAUCAGGGCAGGCUAGAAGAUGUAUCCGAAGUGUAGUCACUUACCGAAAGUGACCUUUUUUGUCCUCAGUUUUUUAAGUGUUCGUUUUCAUUUCAAGUGAUACACUUAAUUCGGUGUCUUAGGAAUAUUAUUUUGGCGUUUGCUGGUACCCUGCGGCAUGGCCUCAUCCCUAAUCUCCUUGGUGAAGGAACCUACGCCAGGUAUAACUGCCGUGACGCCGUGUGGUGGUGGCUGCAGUGCAUUCAGGAUUACUGUAAAAUGGUUCCAAAUGGGCUUGACAUCCUCAAGUGCCCCGUCUCCAGGAUGUAUCCCACAGAUGAUUCUGCUCCUUUGCCUGCUGGCACACUGGAUCAGCCAUUGUUUGAAGUAAUACAGGAGGUCAUGCAGAGACACAUGCAGGGCAUUCAGUUCCGAGAAAGGAAUGCCGGGCCACAGAUAGACCGAAACAUGAAGGACGAAGGUACCAAGCGUUAACUGCAUAGUGAAGAUGUGCUCAUGCGGGGAAAGCAAACCUUGCAAUUUUCAUUUAUUUGGUCAAUGUUUGUGAGCAAAACCUCAGGAUACAACAAUGAAGAUUAGCAGAGUUUCUGACCCCACCUCAUUUUUACUUUCUGGAGGAAAGAAAACUUCAUAGCUUUUGUCAGCCACAUUUAAAGGUCUAUUACUGGUUGAAAUUUAUAAUUGUGAUAUUGAUAAUGUGAAGUGCUGCAAAGUAAGUCCUUGCUGUGUGUUAGGCACUGUGCCAAUCACUGUAUCUAUGUCACUCUCAUUAACAUUCCUGAGAACACUGGAAUGAGCCGUUUACCUUGCUCCUGAUUUUACUGAAAGAGAAGGCUAAAGAGUAGCCUGCUCCAAAUUACAUAGCCAGUAAGUGACCGAAGAAGGAAUUCAUCUGUGGUCUGUCUCUAUAAAGUACUUUUGUGCCAGACGUGGAGGUGUAUGCCUGUAAUCCCAGCAAUUGGGCACGUGAGGCAGAAGGAUCACAAGCUCAAGGCCACUGUAAAAAACAUAGCAAGUUCCAAGCCAGCUUGAGCUAUGUGGCAAGACCUUGUCUCAAAAAAACAAGAAAAAGAAAACUUUUUUGUGAAAAGAUUUUAUUUGUAUGUUGUUUAAAUUGAUGUACUCUUUUCUCUUCUUGUGAGUGUAUCAUAUUCCUCAUCUGCUAGCACACCAUCAUUGCCAGCUACCACAGGGCUAAUAAGUCAUUUCAUUUCCCUCAUUCCUCUUAGAGAGUCAUCCGGAUGACUUUGCUCUGUGUUUACUUUUCAUUCUGUAAGACAUGUGUUGUUUUAUGUGCAGGUAGGGUUUUUGAAAAACCUUUGUAAUUUAGAAAGAAUUAGAAAUUCAUGGACUGGGGACUCAGCUCAAGAGCACCUGCCUACCAAAUCCCUAAGUUCAAACUCUAGUACCACCAAAAAA